rnacentral:rRNA from 1 species
CCUACGGGAGGCAGCAGUGGGGAAUAUUGCACAAUGGGGGAAACCCUGAUGCAGCGACGCCGCGUGAGUGAAGCAGUAUUUCGGUACGUACAGCUCUAUCAGCAGGGAAGAAAAAAAGUCCUUUGGACUUUGGACGGUACCUGACUAAGAAGCCCCGGCUAACUACGUGCCAGCAGCCGCGGUAAUACGUAGGGGGCAAGCGUUAUCCGGAUUGACUGGGUGUAAAGGGAGCGUAGACGGCAGCGCAAGUCUGGAGUGAAAUGCCGGGGCCCAACCCCGGAACUGCUCUUGGGACUGCGUGGCUGGAGUGCAGGAGGGGCAGGCGGAAUUCCUGGUGUAGCGGUGAAAUGCGUAGAUAUCAGGAGGAACACCGGUGGCGAAGGCGGCCUGCUGGACUGCAACUGACGUUGAGGCCCGAAAGCGUGGGGAGCAAACAGGAUUAGAUACCCCAGUAGUC